rnacentral:tRNA from 1 species
UGCCGGAUGGGGUAACGGUAGCCCGCCACACUCUGGAUGUGGUUGUCUAGGUUCGAAUCCUAGUCCGGCAGCCA